rnacentral:lncRNA from 1 species
ACCUUAACCUCUGCCUAGCCACUCACAGCAAGAUGAGAGGCAACUGCUCAGUGCGUGUCUUCAGCUCAUGCCCUCUUUCGCCUGUCUUGGCCCAUCUUCUUCAGGGAUGGGAACCAGCAUGAUGAGGGAGAAGUUACUCAAGGGGCCGUCUUCUUGGCUUCAGCCCUGUGGAAGGCCUAGUGGGCUUUGGACCUCACAGCCAAUCAGCUAGGAAGCCAAGACUGAAUAUGUAGGAGAAGAAUAAAGACCUGUUUUGUGUGUGAAGAGUUGGAGUAGGAAGAUCACAGGACUUCAUUCUGGCUUCAGUUCCUGCCUGGGAGUGGUGGCUUACACCUGUAAUCCCAGCACUUU